GACGAACGCUGGCGGCGUGCUUAACACAUGCAAGUCGAACGGUAAGGCCCUUCGGGGUACACGAGUGGCGAACGGGUGAGUAACACGUGGGUGAUCUGCCCUGAACUUCGGGAUAAGCCUGGGAAACUGGGUCUAAUACCGGAUAGGACCACUGCCUGCAUGGGUGGUGGUGGAAAGCUUUUGCGGUGUGGGAUGGGCCCGCGGCCGAUCAGCUUGUUGGUGGGGUGAUGGCCUACCAAGGCGACGACGGGUAGCCGGCCUGAGAGGGUGACCGGCCACACUGGGACUGAGAUACGGCCCAGACUCCUACGGGAGGCAGCAGUGGGGAAUAUUGCACAAUGGGCGCAAGCCUGAUGCAGCGACGCCGCGUGAGGGAUGACGGCCUUCGGGUUGUAAACCUCUUUCAGCACCGACGAAGCGCAAGUGACGGUAGGUGCAGAAGAAGGACCGGCCAACUACGUGCCAGCAGCCGCCGUAA
rnacentral:rRNA from 1 species